UGCAAGUCGUGCGAGAAGGGCUUCGGCCCCGGUAAAGCGGCGCACGGGUGAGUAACACGUAGGUAACCUACCCUCUGGUGGUGGAUAACCUUCCGAAAGGAAGGCUAAUACAGCAUAAGACCACGGUCUCGCAAGAGAUUGAGGUAAAAGCGGGCCUCUUCAUGAAAGCUCGCUCCAGGGGAUGGGCCUGCGGCCCAUCAGCUAGUUGGUGAGGUAAUGGCUCACCAAGGCGAAGACGGGUAGCUGGUCUGAGAGGAUGAUCAGCCACACUGGAACUGAGACACGGUCCAGACUCCUACGGGAGGCAGCAGUGGGGAAUCUUGCGCAAUGGGCGAAAGCCUGACGCAGCGACGCCGCGUGAGUGAUGAAGGCCUUCGGGUUGUAAAGCUCUGUGGAGGGGGACGAAUAAGUGUCGUCGAAUAGACGGCAUGAUGACGGUACCCCUUUAGCAAGCACCGGCUAACUCUGUGCCAGCAGCCGCGGUAAGACAGAGGGUGCAAACGUUGUUCGGAAUUACUGGGCGUAAAGCGCGUGUAGGCUGCUCGGAAAGUCGGAUGUGAAAGCCCUGGGCUCAACCCAGGAAGUGCAUUCGAAACUUCCGAGCUCGAGUAUCGGAGAGGCAGGCGGAAUU
rnacentral:rRNA from 1 species